rnacentral:lncRNA from 1 species
UAGUAGAGUGGGUAUGAUGGGUGAUGUCCUAGACCAGAUAUAGUAGAGUGGGUAUGAUGGGUGACUGGGGUGAUGUCCUAGACCUGAUAUAGUAGAGUGGGUAUGAUGGGUGACUGGGGUGAUGUCCCAGACCAGAUAUAGUAGAGUGGGUAUGAUGGGUGAUGUCCUAGACCAGAUAUAGUAGAGUGGGUAUGAUGGGUGAUGCCCUUGACCUGAAAUAGUAGAAUGGGUAUGAUGGGAGAUGCCCUAGACCAGAUAUAGUAGAGUGGGUAUGAUGGGUGAUGCCCUAGACCAGAUAUAGUACAGUGGGUAUGAUGGGUGAUGUCCCAGAGCUGAUAUAGUAGAGUGGGUAUGAUGGGUGAUGUCCUAGACCAGAUAUAAUAGACUGGGUAUGAUGGGUGAUGUCCCAGACCUGAUAUAGUAGAGUGGUAAUGUUGGGUGAUGUCCUAGACCUGGUAUAGUAGAGUGGGUAUGAUGGGUGACUGGGGUGAUGUCCCAGACCAGAUAUAGUAAGUAUGAUGGGUGAUGUCCUAGACCAGAUAUAGUAGAGUGGAUAUGAUGGGUGACUGGGGUGAUGUCCUAGACCUGAUAUAGUAGAGUGGGUAUGAUUGGUGAGUGCAGGAUAGUGGGUUUGAUUCCCGGGACCAGCCGUACGUAACAUGUAUAACACAUAAGACUGUAAGUGGCUUUGAAUAAAAGCAUCUUCUAAAUGGCAGACAUUAUUCAGUAGAUGUAGUACAGAACAGUCAGGGUCCAUGGAGCUGGAUUUAAGGCCACGACUGCUGGCUUCAUUUGUGAAUUUCCAGUAACCGUCUAUACUGACAUGUCCUUUGUUUUUAACAGAAGACAUGAGGCUUAUGCUGAGUAAGUCAAUCGAGGUAAUAUCACAUAACAAUACCUCUGAGUUUCACUUCUCAUUUUGACCUCUUCUGGAGCUGGGUAAAAACUGGAACUCUCACUGCUCAUUUUGACCUCUUCUGUAGCUGGGUAAAAACUGGACCUCUCACUGUUCAUUUUGACCUCUUCUGUAGCUGGGUAAAAACUGGAUCUGUCACUUCUCAUUUUGACCUCUUCUGUAGCUGGGUAAAAACUGGACCUCUCACUUCUCAUUUUGACCUCGUCUGUAGCUGGGUAAAAACUGGACCUGUCACUUCUCAUUUUGACCUCUUCUGUAGCUGGGUAAAAAUUGGACCUCUCACUGCUCGUAUUGACCUCUUCUGUAGCUGGGUAAAAUUGGACCUCUCACUGCUCGUAUUGACCUCUUCUGUAGCUGGGUAAAAACAAUGCUGCUGCUGCCUUGGUUUAAUAUUUCACACACCAACACUCGUUCUUCUAUCCUCAUGGGGACCUAAAAUUGAUUUUCAUUCAGAAUCCUAUUUUCCUUUUAUUUUGUAUUUAACCUUUUAUUUAAUCAGGGAGUCACAUUGAGAUUAUAAAAUCACAUUACAAUAAAAACAGAAUAAAAUAUACAUGUGUAUAAAACAAUAUAAUUCAGCACUAAUAUAGGUAGAGGGGCACAAGCUCUCCAGGAAACCUUAAACCUAGCCCUUAACCUAACCCUAAUUCUAACACAAAUCAUAACCCUAACCCUAAUUCUAACACAAAUCCUAAACCUAACCCUAAUUCUAACACAAAUCCUAAACCUAAUUGUAACACAAAUCCUAACCCUAAACCUAACCCCUAAGCUUAAAAUAGCCUUUGUCCUCAUGGGGACGUGGGAAAUGUCCCAACGAGGGAGAAUUUUCCUUGUUUUACUAUCCUUGUGGAGACAUUGGGGAUUUUAGGUCUCCACAAGGAUAGAGGAUCAAGACCACACACACACACACACACUGUCACGCCCUGACCUGAGAGAGACGUUUUUCUCUGUUUAGUUAGGUCAGAGUGUGAUAUGGGGUGGGCAUUCUAUGUAUUGUAUUUCUUUGUUUUGGCAGAGUAUGGUUCCUAAUCAGAGGCAGCUGUCUAUCGUUGUCUCUGAUUGUGAAUCAUACUUAGGCAGCCUGUUUUCCACCUGUGUUUGUGGGUAAUUGUUUUCUGUUUUGUUAUCAGUGACCUGACAGAACUGUUGGCUUUCGUUUUGUUUCUUUGUUUAAGUGUUUCGUUAUAUAUAAUACAUUUUGAACACUUACCACGCUGCGCUUUGGUCCACUCCUACCGCCAACGAGAGCCGUUACACACACACACACACACACACACACAGACACACACACACACACACACACACACACACACACACACACACACACACACACACACACACACACACACACACACACACACACACACACAGACAGAUGGAAUCAUCACACAACACUACAGUCAUCAUCGUCACAUUCAUAAUUGAGUGUAAUAGAUAGUAAUUGUACCAUUCAUCAGGGGAACUACUCAGCACACCCUCCAAUGCUUAGUGUCAUUAUGGGAAAUGCCUCUGUGUUAAAAUAGAUGCACUGUUUGCAGAAACCAGACAUUAAUUUAGGUAUGGAGAGAUUAGAACUCUACCUACGGAAAUAUAACUGUCUUACGUUUCAAUGGUUCACCUUAAUAUCCCCACUCCCUGUGGCAGCGUAGUGCACAUUAACUGGGAGGCCUGAAGUGAACUAAGAGAUGAAAUGUUAAGAUAUAUUUUUUAUUUAUUUAUCGAGGCAAGUCAGUUAAGAACAAUUUCUUGUUUACAAUGACGGCCUAACCCAGGCUAAAACCUAAACCGGACGACGCUGGGCCAAUUGUGCGCCGCCCUGUGGGACUCCCAAUCGCGGCCGGUUGUGAUGCAGCCUGGAUUCAAACCAGGGACCGAGAUGCAGUGCCUUAGAGCGCUGCGCCACUCGGGAGCCCAGGAUAUUGAGGCUGUUCUGAGGGCAAAACGGGGUAAAACUCAAUAUUUGGAAAAUGUUUAUGGGCUCUACCUACAUUCUGUCAUUCUCAUUAUUAUUCUGUGUGUGUGUCUGUGUGUGCGUGCGUGCGUGUGUGUGCACGGUAAAAUAACUAUGAUAAGUGAAAAGUGGUUUUCUGUCAGAGUGAUUUUCUUUAUGUAACAGCACCAUUCAGCAGUCAAACUGUUAUUUCCUGUCAGCACUCCAUGUACUUCUCCUCGGCAGUUGACCUUCUGUAGACGAGCCGGGGAUGGUGUGGAUGCGGCGACGUUGUCCUCGACGACUGGCAGAUGGCAGGAAUAUAGAGGGACUGAAGGAUCUCCACCUCUCCACCUCUAACAUGGAAUAAUAAGCGAGGGAGGUUGAAAUCCUUCGGUCCUUAACGUUUUCCUGCCAUCGGCCAGUCGUCGACGAGAAUGUCCCUGCAUUCAGGCCAUCCCUGCCUUGUCUACAGAAGGUAUUUGAGUUCCCUCUGUGGAAGACAGAGAGAGGGGCUGUAAACAGCUGUAAUAAGGUAUUCUCUCUCUUGAAGACAGAGAGAGAGGCUGUAAACAGCUGCAAUAAGGUUCUCUCUCUCUUGAAGACAGAGAGGGGCUGUAAACAGCUGUAAUAAUGUAUUCUCUCUCUUGAAGACAGAGAGAGGGGCUGUAAACAGCUGUAAUAAUGUAGAGGUGGACAGAGAGAGAGGACAGAGAGAGAGGACAGAGAGAGAGGACAGAGAGAGAGGACAGAGAGAGAGGACAGAGAGAGAGGACAGAGAGAGAGGGCAGAGAGAGAGGGCAGAGAGAGAGGGCAGAGAGAGAGGGCAGAGAGAGAGGGCAGAGGGAGAGGGGGCAGAGAGAGAGAGAGGGCAGGGCAGAGAGAGAGAGGGCAGAGAGAGAGAGAGAGGGCAGAGAGAGAGAGAGAGAGAGAGAGAGAGACAAAGAGAGAGAGGGCUCAGGCAGGAAAUAUUUUUCCAUUGUGAGAAAUGCCCAUGUAACGUCUUUUUUUUUUUUAGAGGCACAAUAUAUAAUCCCUCCCCCUCACCUCCUGGAAGUGACAUUUAUAGUCCCUCCAUCCCUCCCCCUCACCUCCUGGAAGUAACAUUUAUAGUCCCUCCAUCCUUCCACCUCACCUCCUGGAAGUGACAUUUAUAGUCCCUCCAUCCUUCCCCCACACCUCCUGGAAGUGACAUUUAUAGUCCCUCCAUCCCUCCCCCUCACCUCCUGGAAGUGACAUUUAUAGUCCCUCCAUCCUUCCCCCUCACCUCCUGGAAGUGACAUUUGUAGUCCCUCCAUCCCUCCACCUCACCUCCUGGAAGUAACAUUUAUAGUCCCUCCAUCCCUCCACCUCACCUCCUGGAAGUAACAUUUAUAGUCCCUCCAUCCCUCGCCCUCACCUCCUGGAAGUAACAUUUAUAGUCCCUCCAUCCCUCCCCCUCACCUCCUGGAAGUAACAUUUAUAGUCCCUCCAUCCUUCCCCCUCACCACCUGGAAGUGACAUUUAUAGUCCCUCCAUCCCUCUCCCUCACCUCCUGGAAGUAACAUUUAUAGUCCCUCCAUCCCUCCACCUCACCUCCUGGAAGUGACAUUUAUAGUCCCUCCAUCCUUCCCCCUCACCUCCUGGAAGUGACAUUUAUAGUCCCUCCAUCCCUCCCCCUCACCUCCUGGAAGUAACAUUUAUAGUCCCUCCAUCCCUCCCCCUCACCUCCUGGAAGUAACAUUUAUAGUCCCUCCAUCCCUCCCCCUCACCUCCUGGAAGUAACAUUUAUAGUCCCUCCAUCCUCCCCCUCACCUCCUGGAAGUGACAUUUAUAGUCCCUCCAUCCCUCUCCCUCACCUCCUGGAAGUAACAUUUAUAGUCCCUCCAUACCUCCCCCUCACCUCCUGGAAGUAACAUUUAUAGUCCCUCCAUCCUUCCCCCUCACCUCCUGGAAGUGACAUUUAUAGUCCCUCCAUCCUUCCCUUUCUCCCACACUGUAAUUUGAAGCUGUCACAAACGAUCCUCCUCACAGACCUUUGGAAAUGUCAGGUUCUGUCAAGCAGGGUGACAGCUUCCUCACACCAGGGCCCUCAAACUUUGUAGAGAGCGAGAGAGAGAUGUUUUAUUUAACCUUUAUUUAACUAGGCAAGAGAUCAGACCACUUGACUCAGACAAGUAGUUGAAUGUUGGGAAUCCUGCUGAUGUGGUCAUGUUUAGUUUUGAAUAUCGUCUUUCUACCAGCCAGGUUUAGAUAUAUUCUCUGACAAUACUUGUCCACUUGGAAACAUGUUGUAUUGUAUCCCAUGUAUUUAGUCAGAUCAAGAUGGCUGCCUUGUUUUUAAAUUGACACAGUACAAACUCUGCAGAGACAGGUAGAGACAGUACCAUGAGUAUAGCUGAUGGUAGAGACAGUACCAUGAGUAUAGCUGAUGGUAUAGAGAGACAGGAAGAGGCAGUACCAUGAGUAUAGCUGAUGGUAUAGAGAGACAGGAAGAGGCAGUACCAUGAGUAUAGCUGAUGGAAGAGAGAGACAGGAAGAGACAGAACCGUGAGUAUAGCUGAUGGAAGAGAGAGACAGGAAGAGACAGUACCAUGAGUAUAGCUGAUGGAAGAGAGAGACAGGAAGAGACAGAACCGUGAGUAUAGCUGAUGGUAGUAAGAGACAGUACCAUGGGUAUAGCUGAUGGUAGGGAGAGACAGGAAGAGAGUACCGUGAGUAUAGCUGAUGGUAGAGAGAGACAGGAAGAGACAGCACUGUGAGUAUAGCUGAUGGUAGGGAGAGACAGGAAGAGACAGUACCGUGAGUAUAGCUGAUGGUAGAGACAGUACCAUGAGUAUAGCUGAUGGUAGGGAGAGACAGGAAGAGACAGUACCAUGAGUAUAGCUGAUGGUAGGAAGAGACAGGUAGAGACAGUACCAUGAGUAUAGCUGAUGGUAGGGAGAGACAGGAAGAGACAGUACUGUGAGUAUAGCUGAUGGUAGGGAGAGACAGGAAGAGACAGUACCAUGAGUAUAGCUGAUGCUAGGGAGAGACAGGAAGAGAAAGUACCGUGUGUAUAGCUGAUGGUAGGGAGAGACGGGAAGAGACAGUACUGUGAGUAUAGCUGAUGGUAGGGAGAGACAGGAAGAGACAGUACCGUGUGUAUAGCUGAUGGUAGGGAGAGACAGGUAGAGACAGUACCAUGAGUAUAGCUGAUGGUAGGGAGAGACAGGUAGAGACAGUACCAUGAGUAUAGCUGAUGGUAGGGAGAGACAGGAAGAGACAGUACCAUGAGUAUAGCUGAUGGUAGGGAGAGACAGGAAGAGACAGUACUGUGAGUAUAGCUGAGGGCAGAGAGAGACAGGAAGAGACAGUACCGUGUGUAUAGCUGAUGGCAGAGAGAGACAGGGCUGCUGAGAACACAAUUUAAAUGUGUAUUCUGUGACUGAGGCAUAGAGAUGACGAAUCAACUGGUACAAUGCAUAACAAAAUGCCUAGCUACUGUUGAAGUCGGAAGUUUACAUACACCUUAGCCAAAUACAUUUAAACUCAGUUUUUCCACAAUCUGACAUUUAAUCCUAGUAAAAUGUAAUCUUAGGUCAGUUAGGAUCACCACUUUAUUUUAAGAAAGUGAAAUGUCAGAAUAAUAGUAGAAAGAACGAUUUAUUUCAGCUUUUAUUUCUUUCAUCACAUUCCCAGUGGGUCAGAAGUUUACAUACACUCAAUUAGUAUUUGGUAGCAUUGCCUUUAAAUUGUUUAACUUGGGAAAAACUUUUUGGGUAGCCUUCCACAAGCUUCCCACAAUAAAUUGGGUGAAUUUUGGCCCAUUCCUCCUGACAGAGCUGGUGUAACUAAGUCAGGUUUGUAGGCCUCCUUGCUCGCACACGCUUUUUCAGUUCUGCCCACAAAUGUUCUAUAGGGUUGAGUAUGAUCUUUGUCCCCAUGUGCAGUUUGAAACCGUAGUCUGUAUUUUUUAUGCCGGUUUUGGAGCAGUGGCUUCUUCCUUGCUGAGCGGCCUUUCAGGUUAUGUUGAUAUAGGACUCGUUUUGCUGUGGAUAUAGAUACCUUUGUACCUGUUUCCUCCAGCAUCUUCACAAGGUCCUUUGCUGUUGUUCUGGGAUUGAUUUGUACUUUUCGCACCAAAGUACGUUCAUCUCUAGGAGACAGAACGCGUCCACUUCCUGAGCGGUAUGGUGGCUGCGUGGUCCCAUGGUGUUUAUAUUUGCGUACUAUUGUUUGUACAGAUGAACGUAGUACCUUCAGGCAUUUGGAAAUUGCUCCUAAGGAUGAACCAGACUUGUGGAGGUCUACAAUUUUUUUCUGAGGUCUUGGCUGAUUUCUUUUGAUUUUCCCAUGAUGUCAAGCAAAGAGGCACUGAGUCUGAAGGUAGGCCUUGAAAUACAUCCACAGGUACACCUCCAAUUGACUCAAAUUAUGUCAAUUAGCCUAUCAGAAGCUACUAAAGUCAUGACAUAAUUUUCUGGAAUUUUCCAAGCUGUUUAACCUCUUACAUCUAGACGUUCCGCUAGCGGAACACCUGCUCCAAUAUCCAAUGAUAAGCGUGGCGCGAAUUACAAAUUCCUCAAAAAUACAAAAACUUCAAUUUUUCAAACAUAUGACUAUUUCACAGCAUUUUAAAGACAAGACUCUCCUUUAUCUAACCACACUGUCCGAUUUCAAAAAGGCUUUACAGCGAAAGCAAAAUAUUAGAUUAUGUCAGCAGAGUACCAAGCCAGAAAUAAUCAGACACCCAUUUUUCAAACUAGCAUAUAAUGUCACAAAAACCCAGAAGACAGCUAAAUGCAGCACUAACCUUUGAUGAUCUUCAUCAGAUGACACACCUAGGACAUUAUGUUAUACAAUACAUGCAUGUUUUGUUCAAUCAAGUUCAUAUUUAUAUCAAAAAACAGCUUUUUACAUUAGCAUGUGACGUUCAGAACUAGCAUACCCCCCGCAAACUUCCGGGGAAUUUGCUAACAAUUUACUAAAUUACUCACGAUAAACGUUCACAAAAAG